rnacentral:rRNA from 1 species
UCAAGGCCUUGGCAGGGCACCCCCAUCCCAUGCGAUCGCACGGACAUGCUGCUUUUCUCAGCUUGCACGGAGAUUUCGUUCGGGAAUGGGCAAUGGGCAAGUUUCUGGAAUGAUCGAUGGCUGUUGGGAAUGGCUCCUGUGGAUGUGGCCCCCGGUUUGUUCGGUUUGGCACGGCGGAAAAGGCUCUCUGUGAAGGAAGCUCUUGCUGGUAAUCGCUGGAUGAAGGGCCUGGAAAGAAUUGCUUCCGAGGAGCUGCUGGAUCAACUUGUCAAGUUAUGGGAGCUGCUGCAACCCAUUGUCCUUUCUGAUGUUCCUGAUACCAUCCGGUGGAAGUUCACUAAUGAUGGAGGCUACUCCGCUGCGUCUGCUUACAAUGCUCAGUUUAUUGGUCGCAUCGCUGAGCCACAGUUGCAUGCUUCAUUGAGGAUCAAGGCCGAGCCGAAGGUAAAGUUCCAUCUGUGGCUCCUGAUUCAGAAUAGGAACUGGGCAGCUGAUCGGCUUGCGACAAGGGGAUGGCCACACAAUGACAAAUGCAUGUUCUGUGAUCAAGUUCUGGAAACAGCUGCCCAUCUGACGCUCACUUGUCCAUUUGCCCGGGAGGUCUGGUUUUCCUUCCAGCAAAGUGAUCCAGAGGCUGCACUUGUUGGUUCAACAGCAAUGACAAUCAAGGGAUGGUGGAGACGGAUCUGGAAUCUGCACAACAACCCAACUUCUUGCACGCAGAUCACAUCGGCUGCUUACGUUGCUUGGAAUCUUUGGAAAGAGAGGAAUAGGCGGACGUUUGAAGGAAAGAGAUGCUCUCCCGAAACAGUUGCUGCUAUGGCCAGAGACGACAUUGUACUGUUCAAGGAAGCUACUGCGUAG